rnacentral:tRNA from 1 species
GUGUAGCUCAGUAGUAGAGCAAUUGCCUACUAUGCAUGAGGCCCUGGGUUUGAUGCCCAGCAC